rnacentral:rRNA from 1 species
CAGCACCCCGAGUGGUCGGGACGAUUAUUGGGCCUAAAGCAUCCGUAGCCGGUUCUACAAGUCUUCCGUUAAAUCCACCUGCUCAACAGUUGGGCUGCGGAGGAUACUAUAGAGCUAGGAGGCGGGAGAGGCAAGCGGUACUCAGUGGGUAGGGGUAAAAUCCGUUGAUCCAUUGAAGACCACCAGUGGCGAAGGCGGCUUGCCAGAACGCACUCGACGGUGAGGGAUGAAAGCUGGGGGAGCAAACCGGAUUAGAUACCCGCGUAGUCC